UCAUAUGCUUGUCUCAAAGCUUAAGCCAUGCAAGUGUAAGUUCACGCCACGCAUUAGAACGGGCGAAACCGCGAAUGGCUCAGGAACCGGACCUAAUCCUCGGGACCGUAAUCCUCCUCGGAGGCGAUGGAUAACUGUGGCAAUUCUAGAGCUAAUACAUGUGACACAGGCCGCGAUCGGUCGACGCGCCGUGGUCGCCUCGCCUUCUUGCGCGCUGGCACCCGCGUCGGCCGUCUUGGGUCGCGGCGCUACAUAUUAGACUGAGACCGAUGCGCGAUUUCCGUCCUCUCGUUGCGGGUUCGCGCUCGCUUCGGGGCUAAAGGUCGGCGCGCUCCGCUUUGGUGACUCUGGAUAACUCACUGGUCGAUCGCACGGGCUUCCACGCCCGGCGACGGGUCCCCCGAGGGUCCGCCCUAUCAACUGUCGACGGUCGGUUAAGUGCCUACCGUGGUUACUACGGGUAACGGGGAAUCGGGGUUCGAUUCCGGAGAGGGAGCAUGCGAAACGGCUACCACAUCCAAGGAAGGCAGCAGGCGCGCAAAUUACCCACUCCCGGCACGGGGAGGUAGUGACGAAAAAUAACGACGCGGGACUCUGUCGAGGCCCCGCGAUCGGAAUGAGUACACUUCAAAUCCGUUAACGAGGACCAACCGGAGGGCAAGUCUGGUGCCAGCAGCCGCGGUAAUUCCAGCUCCGGUAGCGUAUAUUAAAGUUGUUGCGGUUAAAAAGCUCGUAGUCCGAACUCGGGUUCGUGGUCGCUCACGCGGCCCCGGGGCGUCGGCGCCAUCGUCCAUCGUUGACUUUGGUCGUUCGUUCGCAUUCCCGGCCCUUUCCGCCGGUGUCAAUCGCUAUAUAGACGGCCGCGGGUCAGCUGGUGAUUGGCGCGUCGCCGGCCGGUGUAAUCUUAACUUGUCUUCGUUUCGUCGGGGGGAUGGUUGGGCGGUAGAAGCUGCUGGUAGGAAUUCGGGUACGUCCUGAGCCGACCUCUCUCCUGUCCGUCUUUUGCUGUCUCUUUUGGCGGGGCGGGGCGGUUUGUUCGCCGUGUCGCGCACCGGGUCCUCACGGGCUCCCUUUCGCUACGCCCCCGUGUUUGCCGUCGGUGAUUUCUCCUCCAAGGGUGCUCUUAACCGAGUGUCCGCGGCGGCCGGUACGUUCACUUUGAAAAAAUUAGAGUGCUCAGAGCGGGCUGUUCAAGCUUGCAUACGAUAAGCAUGGAAUGAUGGAAGAGGGCCUCGUCUACGUCUGUCGGUCUCCGUCUACGGCGAGGCAAUGAUCGAAGGGAGCGGUCGGGGCCACUCGUAUUGCGACGUUAGAGGUGAAAUUCUUGGAUCGUCGCAAGACGAACUGCAGCGAUGGCGUGUGGCAAGCACGUUUUCCUCGAUCAAGAGCGAAAGUCGGAGGUUCGAAGACGAUCAGAUACCGUCGUAGUUCCGACCGUAAACGAUGCCGACCGGCGAUCCGCCGGCGUUCGCUUCCAUGACCCGGCGGGUAGCCUGCGGGAAACCAGAGUUCGGUUCCGGGGGGAGUAUGGUUGCAAAGCUGAAACUUAAAGGAAUUGACGGAAGGGCACCACCAGGAGUGGAGCCUGCGGCUUAAUUUGACUCAACACGGGAAAACUCACCCGGUCCGGACACCGGUAGGAUUGACAGAUCGAUAGCUCUUUCUCGAUUCGGUGGGUGGUGGUGCAUGGCCGUUCUUAGUUGGUGGAGCGAUCCGUCUGGUUGAUUCCGAUAACGAACGAGACUCCGGCCUGCUAACUAGUGCGCCGAUGUGAGUGCGGCUCCUCGCGGGUCGUGUGCGGGCUCGGGGGCGAUUUUUGAUCGUCUCUCGUGUCCGGGUCGGUUUCUCACGCACUUCUUAGAGGGACGGGUGGCAGAAAGCCACACGAGGCGGAGCGAUAACAGGUCUGUGAUGCCCUUAGAUGUCCGGGGCCGCACGCGCGCUACACUGGAGGUAUCAGCGGGGACUUCGCCCCGGCCCGAGAGGGUCGGGAAACCUCUCAACCACCUCCCGUGAUAGGGAUCGGGGCCUGUAACCAACCCCGUGAACGAGGAAUUCCCGGUAGGCGCGGGUCAACAGCCCGCGUCGAUCACGUCCCUGCCCUUUGUACACACCGCCCGUCGCUACUACCGAUCGAACGGUCCGGUGAGGUCCUCGGAUCUGGCCGACGACGCCGCCGGGUAAGGCCUUCGGGUCCCGCCUCGGCGUUCGAUGCCUGGAGAAGACGACCGAACCCGAUCGUUUAGAGGAAGUAAAAGUCGUAACAAGGUUUCC
rnacentral:rRNA from 1 species